rnacentral:lncRNA from 1 species
UGGAACACUGGACCAGCUCUAUACCCUCACUAGGGUGUUGGAGGGUUCAUGGGAGUUUGCCCAACCAGUCCAUAUGUGUUUUGUGGACCUGGAGAAGGCAUUCGACCAUGUCCCUCGUGGCAUCCUGUGGGGGGUACUUCGGGAUUAUGGGGUCCAGGGCUCGCUGCUACGGGCUGUUCGUUCCCUGUAUGACUGGAACAGGAGCUUGGUUCGUAUUGCCGGCAGUAAGUCAGACCUGUUCCUGGUGCAUGUUGGACUCCGCCAGGGCUGCCCUUUGUCACCGAUUCUGUUCAUUAUCUUCAUGGACAGAAUUUCUAGGCGCAGCCAGGGAACGGAGGGUGUCUGUUUUGGUGGCUGCAGGAUCUCAUUUUUGCUUUUUGUGGUCCUGUUGGCUUCAUCAAAUCAAGACUUAUGGCGUGCACUGGAGAGGUUUGCAGCCGAAUGCGAAGCGGCGGGGAUGAGAAUCAGCAUCUCCAAAUCCGUGGCCAUGGUUCUCAGUUGGAAAAAGGUGGAUUGCCCCCUCCAGGUCAGGGGGGAGUUGCUCCCUCAAGUGGAGGAGUUUAAGUAUCUCAGGGUCUUGUUCACGAGUGAGGAAAAAAUGGAGCGGCAGGUUGACGGACGGAUCGGUGUGGCGUCCGCAGUAAUGCGGUCAUUGUACCGGUCUGUUGUGGUGAAGAAGGAGCUGAGUCGUAAGGCGAAGCUCUCAAUUUACCGGUCGAUCUACGUUCCUACCCUCACCUAUGGUCAUGAACUCUGGAUCAUGACCGAAAGAAUGAGAUCGCGGAUACAAGUGGCAGAAAUGAGUUUCCUCCGCAGAGUGGCUGGGCGCACCCUUAGGGAUAGGGUGAGGAGCUCAGUCACCCAGGAGGAGCUCGGAGUAGAGCUGCUGCUCCUCCGCAUCGAGAGGAGCCAGGUGAGGUGGCUCGGGCAUCUGUUCCGGAUGCCUCCUGGACGCCUUCCUCGUGGGGUGUUCCGGGCAUGUCCCACUGGGAGGAGGCCUCGGGGCAGACCCAGGACAUGUUGAAGAGACUAUGUCUACCAGCUGGUCUGGGAACGCCUUGGGGUUUCCCCAGAGGAACUGGAGGAGGUGUGCGAGGAGAGGGAAGUCUGGGGGGCUCUGCUUGGACUGCUGCCCCCACGACCCGGCCCCGG